UUCAUUGGCAAUUCAUUCUCAUGCCUGUAAUGAGUAUGAACCUAGACCACUCUCUUAAGUUGUUGUAGUUUUUAUACAGGAGAAGGCGAGAAACCAGCCACUAAAAAAACCUUUGAUCUGGUUUUGGAGGCGUUGCUGCCCAUUGGCAAGGAUGGCAUCCUCAACCAGGAAGGAGAAAUAGAUCCACUCCAACCAGAAGUUGAUUUCUUGAUGGACAUAGUCGCUGAAGCGGUCACAACUGCUGAAAAGGAAUGGAAGAGGAAUUUGAGGAUCGGGAUGAGUCUGAAGCGGCAGCUCAAUCAAGCAAAACUCAACCCCUACCAGCACCACCAUCAUCAAGCUCAAGAUUCCAUUCUAAUGAAUCCGUAAUUUUUCCUGAGAGAGAGCGUCUACUUGUGGAGAUUGAGCGCCUGCAAGUAGACAGGGAACAACUGCAGGUUUCCAGGCAAUUUGAUGCAUCGUUGAGUCACAUCAUGAUCAGCCGGUACUUGCAGUCGUUAUUGCCCAAUGGCAUGUUAUUGCCCAUUACUAGAUGGGCCUGGUGUGGCCCACUACUUUAUUGACAACCGGUAUGCCCAAUCUGGUAUCUGGACAAAUAAACCAGUAUAGGCUGUUGCAUAAACUCAA